AUGAGGUCUGUUGUGGAUCAGCUAUGGCCGGAAAGGCCAAAACCGAACAGCUAUUUCAGCUUGGUGCCGCAGUUCCUUGACGUGGUGCCGCGCAUUAAUGCGAUGAAGAGGUCGGCGUGCAUAGAGGGCUCACGGAUGGCCUUUGCCCGUGUUAAAGCAUACUGGGCGGAGAUGGAUGCCACCACUGUUGCAGCGCAGGAUUCGGCCAUAGGUCGAAUGGCUGCUGAGCACUACUUUGAAGAACUUCUUGAGGGUGCUCGUUUGAUAGGGACCCAGUGCUCAAAAAAUAUUAUGUUUGAGUGA
rnacentral:rRNA from 1 species